UACGUAGGGGGCUAGCGUUGUCCGGAUUUAUUGGGCGUAAAGAGCGUGUAGGCGGCCAGAUAGGUCUGCUGUGAAAACUCGAGGCUCAACCUCGAGAUGUCGGCGGAAACCAUUUGGCUAGAGUCCGGAAGAGGAGAGUGGAAUUCCUGGUGUAGCGGUGAAAUGCGCAGAUAUCAGGAAGAACACCAAUGGCGAAGGCAGCUCUCUGGGACGGUACUGACGCUGAGACGCGAAAGCGUGGGGAGCGAACAGG
rnacentral:rRNA from 1 species